AUCGCUAAACCCUAAGGGGCUCUUCCUUUCCUUUUCGCGAGCUAGGGUUAGGGUUGCUCUGGUGGCCACAUCUCUUCGUUCAACGCGGGCAGCGAGAGUGAUGCUCUCGAUGUUCCUCGUGUGCUCGGCCGUUGCGAGUUGCUGACUCUCCUCCUACAUCGCCAACUGGAUGAUACGCCCGAUCGAUAGCAUGGGAUCCAUAGCAAGGAUUUGUGAUCGAAACGUGAGGUAUGAUUAGUUUAGAAUCAGCAGAAAUCGCGUGGCUUUUUCUCUUUCUUUAAUCCUUUUAUAUUGCUUGAGGAUAGAUUCCGGCCCUUUGAGCUUUUCUUUUACUGCCUCGAGUUGAUUCCAAAGUGAUGAUAGUCUGUUGAAGCAGGCCGUGACCAUCAUGUUUCCUUGUUUAAGCUCGCUGAUUUCCUGCAUGAGAUUGAAAAUUUUGGCUUGAUCUAGUCUACCAUACAUUUCUCUUAUGUUUUCCCACAUAGUUUUUGCAUCCUCUGUGGGUGGAAGUCCAACUACUACUUCUGGGGAUAUGUAAAUCUCAAUCCAUGUUUGGACAAGUUGAUUGCACUUCCGCCAGUGUCGGGCUAGGCGUUCAUCGAAGGGGAUCGCGACGGUUCCAUUGAGGAACCCGUCUUUGUCCUUUGUCACCAGUGCCCGCCAAAGCUCCUGUGAUCACUUCGAAUAACUCUCUGGUCCAGUCAAUUGCUGGCUUAUCAGUCGAAGCUUCGGUCCGUCGGCAGUGGAGACAUACAGAGGGUCACCUAGUUCUGGUCAUCCAGUGAACGCUGCUACUGGAACAAGCAAAAAUCCGGUAAUGAAAUUCAAGUAAGGAUUCGUCCCUUGACCCAAUUUGCCCGACCCAACCGGAUAACCCGCAUUGAGAUAUCCCGGGUAAGGAUUCGUCCCUUGACCCGAUUCGCUCACCCGUCUGCUCCAUUCCGAUGGUUGGGCUUGCCCCAUUUGUGGCUGACGGGCCCCCAUCAUAACUCUGGUGGCCCACGAAAACAGGCGAUGAGGAACUUGGGCUUGGCCCAAAAUAUAGUGGAUAUGGGAUCCACUAGUAUGGUUGGCCCAUCGUGGGUUGCCCCAAAUGGAAUUGAGUCUGCGUGGGCCGCCACUGCACAGGUUGGGCUUGAGUUGAUUGUUGGUCGGAUACUGGAAUUAUUGCAGGGAGAUUCUGGAUCUGUGGAGCUUGAGGACUUCCUUCGUCUCCAGUGGUCCUGUUGUCGGCAGCUGGAUUGAAGUCUUGCGGGGAAGCCAUGGUGAGUCAAAAAAAAAAAAUCCUUCAUUCGAGAGUAUGCCUAAUGCCAAAUGAUUGAUUCCUUCGCAAGUUGAGGAUUCUCUUUGGCAGCAGUUUGAGGCGGAAGCGAGUCAAAGACCGAGUUGCUCUGAUACCAUGUAAGAAGGCAAAGAGAAGAAGGAAUGAUGGACGGAGUCCAGAGAGAACGAUAGAGAACAGCGUAGGAAAAUUUGUUGUAUUCUUUCAUGUAAUACUGAAUGUACAAUUCUCCUAAGAUAUAAUACAAGUUGUGUCCUGUGUAAGGAAAUAAAUGAUCCUAAAUAUCAAUCUAGAUCAAAUCUAAUAUUUAAUUGAUAUAUAUAUAUA
rnacentral:lncRNA from 1 species